rnacentral:rRNA from 1 species
GAUGAACGCUGGCGGCGUGCCUAAUACAUGCAAGUCGAGCGAACAGACGAGGAGCUUGCUCCUCUGACGUUAGCGGCGGACGGGUGAGUAACACGUGGAUAACCUACCUAUAAGACUGGGAUAACUUCGGGAAACCGGAGCUAAUACCGGAUAAUAUAUUGAACCGCAUGGUUCAAUAGUGAAAGACGGUUUUGCUGUCACUUAUAGAUGGAUCCGCGCCGCAUUAGCUAGUUGGUAAGGUAACGGCUUACCAAGGCAACGAUGCGUAGCCGACCUGAGAGGGUGAUCGGCCACACUGGAACUGAGACACGGUCCAGACUCCUACGGGAGGCAGCAGUAGGGAAUCUUCCGCAAUGGGCGAAAGCCUGACGGAGCAACGCCGCGUGAGUGGUGAAGGUCUUCGGAUCGUAAAACUCUGUUAUUAGGGAAGAACAAAUGUGUAAGUAACUAUGCACGUCUUGACGGUACCUAAUCAGAAAGCCACGGCUAACUACGUG